rnacentral:rRNA from 1 species
UACGAAGGGGGCUAGCGUUGCUCGGAAUUACUGGGCGUAAAGCGCACGUAGGCGGCUUUGUAAGUCGGGGGUGAAAUCCUGGAGCUCAACUCCAGAACUGCCUUCGAUACUGGAAAGCUCGAGUCCGGGAGAGGUGAGUGGAACUGCGAGUGUAGAGGUGAAAUUCGUAGAUAUUCGCAGGAACACCAGUGGCGAAGGCGGCUCACUGGCCCGGUACUGACGCUGAGGUGCGAAAGCGUGGGGAGCAAACAGG